AAGCUUGGAAGCAAGGUCGAAGUCAUCAUGCCGAGGUGAUAAGGGCAAGGACAAUUUUCUUCGAUCCAGAGUAUCUUAUCUCUGUAUCUCAUAGCACUUUACUAAUAUAGUAGAUUGGCUUCUAAAUCUUUCUUUCUUCUCAGAUUAGCACUGAACUCACUACAAAGGGUGAGAUAGCUAAAUAUAGAUACAGGACUUCACCUUGCUCGAUUUGG
rnacentral:lncRNA from 1 species